rnacentral:lncRNA from 1 species
GAAGCACUGGGGAAGUCACAGCUGAGCUGAACUAAGGUGCUUUUACGUACAACAUCCCAUUUAGUUCUGCCGUGAGCCUUAGCGAUACAGGCAGAAGAAAACUGAACCCAGGGCGGCACCUCUCAAAUUUUAAUGCCCAUACAAAGCAACUGAAGCUUCAGUUAAAACGCAGACUCUGCCGUGGAAGAUCCAGAGUGCCGCCCAAAAAUGCGCAUUUCUAACAUGUUUUCAGGCAACACCGAUGCUGCUAUGAAUUGUGAGAUCUUUGAGAGCAUGAACGAUUCCAAUUCACCUGGCCAGGAAACAUCAGAAAGCAUCAGGCAGAGUGGAGAGAUAAACGGGCGUCCUACAUUUGCUGAGUGGCUAAUUUUCAAGCUAUGGACAGAGAUUUGCAGCAAUUCCCAGACUCUCCCUUCUCCCAUUUUAUCACUCUGGAACCUUCCCAGGGGUUUAUUAUCUGUGGAAUGA